rnacentral:rRNA from 1 species
AUGAAGUGGGCAAAACCAUACUUGAAAGGUGUUCUUUGCGCCAAGAUGACAAACACACAAGACAACGAGAGCGCGGAUCACAUGUUGAAGACAUCUCCUGCUAGCCCGAUGCACAUUUUCGUUAGGCAGUACAUGAGGUUGCAGAUUGACCAUGAGCGUGAGGAAAGCUAUGAGGAGAAGAGGACCAUGAUUGGUGGAGCUGUUAGGAGAACUAAUUUGGUAACAAAACGGCAUGCAAGCAAAAUUUGCACUAGGGCUAUGUUUGAGGAGUUCGGUCGUCUACUAAUUGAAGGAAUGGCUACAAUGUCACCGAGGUAG